AUUACCGCCAUGGACCCUUCCAUUUCCACGAACGUGAUUUAGUGAGAUCACUCAUCAUAUUUGAUGAAAGUGAUGACUCAGCAGCACAUACUAUAAAUAGUGAUGAUGAGGAUAGAAUCCUCCAUAAUUUCCUUAUAUCAGCGGCAUACCAUAAAUCUAAAUUUGGUGUAUACCAAGACGCUAUGGAGUUUAUCUCUAAAAUAAUACCAGAUAUGGUAAGUAAACCUACAUUCUUUGAAAAAGAUAUCUUUAUGGAUACACUGUGCUGCAGGCACCCAUUUCAGUAUAUAUCAUCAUGUAUAAGUUUGAAGACGUACGCGGAUACAGGAGACUUGUCUGUGCUGCGAUACACACCAGUAUCCCAAGAUGCCUCAGCAAGUGCUUAUCAGAUGAUGAGUUACUUUUUGUUGGAUAUUGAUUAUGGGAUACAUACAAAUCUUUUAAAAACCCCAAAUACGGAUGGCAGAUAUAUCAGGGAUAUAUAUGAAUUCAUGCGGG
rnacentral:misc_RNA from 1 species